GUGGCAGAGGGAGGCUACCUCUAAAAAAAAAAAAAAAUUAGAUUAACAAAACUUAAAAAUACAAAAAUAAAACAACAACAAAACCAAAAACAGCCUGGCUCAUUCUCUUCAAGGUCAGUGCUCCUGCUACUCUGAAACCAGCUGGUGACCACUCGGCCUGAAUAACUUAAAAAUUAAUGUGCAUUUUUUAUAGAAAAUUUGAUUUUAAUUUAGAAUUGUGUCUUUUAGUGUAAUUUUCUUAGGGACU
rnacentral:lncRNA from 1 species